UUUAUACGUCGAAUUUUGGUCGCGUCGAAUGCAAUUAAUUCAAUAGAUAAUGAGAUGAUAAACCUCAUUAAGCUUCAUUAUCUAUUGUUUGAAUUGCAUUCGACGCGACCGAAAUUCAACGUAUAAA